rnacentral:rRNA from 1 species
AAAGAGGUGGAAAGCGUUGUUCGGAUUUAUUGGGCGUAAAGGGUCCGUAGGCGGCCUGAAAAGUUGGAUGUGAAAUCCCACAGAUUAACUGUGGAAUUGCAUUCAAAACUUUCAGGCUCGAGUGUGAUAGGGGUGAAGGGAAUUCUAGGUGUAAGGGUGAAAGCAGCAGAUAUCGGGAGGAACACCAGUCGCGAAGGCGCCUUACUGGAUCACUACUGACGCUGAUGGACUAAAGCCAGGGGAGCAAACGG